rnacentral:rRNA from 1 species
CCGAUCCUACGGGACGCAGCAGUGAGGAAUAUUGGUCAAUGGACGAGAGUCUGAACCAGCCACGUAGCGUGAAGGAUGACUGCCCUAUGGGUUGUAAACUUCUUUUAUAUGGGAAUAAAGUUUUCCACGUGUGGAAUUUUGUAUGUACCAUAUGAAUAAGGAUCGGCUAACUCCGUGCCAGCAGCCGCGGUAAUACGGAGGAUCCGAGCGUUAUCCGGAUUUAUUGGGUUUAAAGGGAGCGUAGAUGGGUUGCUAAGUCAGUUGUGAAAGUUUGCGGCUCAACCGUAAAAUUGCAAUUGAUACUG